GAUGAACGCUGGCGGCGUGCCUAAUACAUGCAAGUCGAGCGAAUGGAUUAAGAGCUUGCUCUUAUGAAGUUAGCGGCGGACGGGUGAGUAACACGUGGGUAACCUGCCCAUAAGACUGGGAUAACUCCGGGAAACCGGGGCUAAUACCGGAUAACAUUUUGAACCGCAUGGUUCGAAAUUGAAAGGCGGCUUCGGCUGUCAUUUAUGGAUGGACCCGCGUCGCAUUAGCUAGUUGGUGAGGUAACGGCUCACCAAGGCAACGAUGCGUAGCCGACCUGAGAGGGUGAUCGGCCACACUGGGACUGAGACACGGCACAGACGCCUACGGGAGGCAGCAGUAGGGAAUCUUCCGCAAUGGACGAAAGUCUGACGGAGCAACGCCGCGUGAGUGAUGAAGGCUUUCGGGUCGUAAAACUCUGUUGUUAGGGAAGAACAAGUGCUAGUUGAAUAAGCUGGCACCUUGACGGUACCUAACCAGAAAGCCACGGCUAACUACGUGCCAGCAGCCGCCGUAA
rnacentral:rRNA from 1 species